rnacentral:piRNA from 1 species
AGGGGCCGGAGAGAUGGCUCAGU